AUUGAACGCUGGCGGCAGGCCUAACACAUGCAAGUCGAGCGGUAGAGAGAAGCUUGCUUCUCUUGAGAGCGGCGGACGGGUGAGUAAUGCCUAGGAAUCUGCCUGGUAGUGGGGGAUAACGUUCGGAAACGGACGCUAAUACCGCAUACGUCCUACGGGAGAAAGCAGGGGACCUUCGGGCCUUGCGCUAUCAGAUGAGCCUAGGUCGGAUUAGCUAGUUGGUGGGGUAAUGGCUCACCAAGGCGACGAUCCGUAACUGGUCUGAGAGGAUGAUCAGUCACACUGGAACUGAGACACGGUCCAGACUCCUACGGGAGGCAGCAGUGGGGAAUUUUGGACAAUGGGCGAAAGCCUGAUCCAGCCAUGCCGCGUGUGUGAAGAAGGUCUUCGGAUUGUAAAGCACUUUAAGUUGGGAGGAAGGGCAGUAAAUUAAUACUUUGCUGUUUUGACGUUACCGACAGAAUAAGCACCGGCUAACUCUGUG
rnacentral:rRNA from 1 species